GCCUAACACAUGCAAGUCGAGCGGCAGCACGGGUACUUGUACCUGGUGGCGAGCGGCGGACGGGUGAGUAAUGCCUAGGAAUCUGCCUGGUAGUGGGGGAUAACGUCCGGAAACGGGCGCUAAUACCGCAUACGUCCUACGGGAGAAAGUGGGGGAUCUUCGGACCUCACGCUAUCAGAUGAGCCUAGGUCGGAUUAGCUAGUUGGUGAGGUAAUGGCUCACCAAGGCGACGAUCCGUAACUGGUCUGAGAGGAUGAUCAGUCACACUGGAACUGAGACACGGUCCAGACUCCUACGGGAGGCAGCAGUGGGGAAUAUUGGACAAUGGGCGAAAGCCUGAUCCAGCCAUGCCGCGUGUGUGAAGAAGGUCUUCGGAUUGUAAAGCACUUUAAGUUGGGAGGAAGGGCAGUUACCUAAUACGUAAUUGUUUUGACGUUACCGACAGAAUAAGCACCGGCUAACUCUGUGCCAGCAGCCGCGGUAAUACAGAGGGUGCAAGCGUUAAUCGGAAUUACUGGGCGUAAAGCGCGCGUAGGUGGUUUGUUAAGUUGGAUGUGAAAGCCCCGGGCUCAACCUGGGAACUGCAUCCAAAACUGGCAAGCUAGAGUAUGGUAGAGGGUGGUGGAAUUUCCUGUGUAGCGGUGAAAUGCGUAGAUAUAGGAAGGAACACCAGUGGCGAAGGCGACCACCUGGACUGAUACUGACACUGAGGUGCGAAAGCGUGGGGAGCAAACAGGAUUAGAUACCCUGGUAGUCCACGCCGUAAACGAUGUCAACUAGCCGUUGGGAGCCUUGAGCUCUUAGUGGCGCAGCUAACGCAUUAAG
rnacentral:rRNA from 1 species